AGAAUUUGCUGAUGAAGGCUUCCAAAACUGAAUGAUAGAACUGGGAUUAUGGGUGUGUAGUCUGAAUAGAAGUGUGUAGUAUCACAUGGUGGAAAACUCUGAGUUUAAGGUUUUAGAAUACA